rnacentral:rRNA from 1 species
UACGGAGGGGGCUAGCGUUGUUCGGAAUUACUGGGCGUAAAGCGCACGUAGGCGGCUUUGUAAGUCAGGGGUGAAAUCCCGGGGCUCAACCUCGGAACUGCCUUUGAUACUGCAAAUCUCGAGUCCGGAAGAGGUGAGUGGAAUUCCUAGUGUAGAGGUGAAAUUCGUAGAUAUUAGGAAGAACACCAGUGGCGAAGGCGGCUCACUGGUCCGGUACUGACGCUGAGGUGCGAAAGCGUGGGGAGCAAACAGG